UUGGAGGGCAAGUCUGGUGCCAGCAGCCGCGGUAAUUCCAGCUCCAAUAGCGUAUAUUAAAGUUGUCGCAGUUAAAAAGCUCGUAGUUGAAUUUUAGGCCUGGUUGGACGGUCUGCUCUAGGGUUUGUACUGUCCUGACUGGGUCUUACCUUCUGGUGAGCUGUCGUAUUGUUUACUCAGUGCGGCAGGGAACCAGGACUUUUACUUUGAAAAAAUUAGAGUGCUUAAAGCAGGCAUUCGCUUGAAUACAUUAGCAUGGAAUAAUAGAA
rnacentral:rRNA from 1 species